rnacentral:rRNA from 1 species
GUAAACCCAAGGUUUCCAGGGGAAGGUUCGUCCGCCCUGGGUUAGUCGGGACCUAAGCUGAGGCCGAAAGGCGUAGGUGAUGGACAACAGGUUGAUAUUCCUGUACUACCGAUAACCGGUUGAGAGAUGGGAUGACACAGUAGGAUAAGCUAAGCACACUGUUGGUUAUGUGUGCCCAAGCAUUGAGGCAGUCAAAGUAGGCAAAUCCGCUUUGAUAAUGCUGGGAUGUGAUGGGGAGCGAAAUUU